rnacentral:rRNA from 1 species
GGUGAUUCAUAGUAACCGAACGGAUCGCAUUAUGACCUUCGGGUCGGCGAUGGAUCAUUCAAGUUUCUGACCUAUCAGCUUUCGACGGUACUGUAUUGGACUACCGUGGCAGUGACGGGUAACGGGGAAUUAGGGUUCGAUUCCGGAGAGGGAGCCUGAGAAACGGCUACCACAUCUAAGGAAGGCAGCAGGCGCGCAAAUUACCCAAUCCUGACUCAGGGAGGUAGUGACAAGAAAUAACAACACUGGAAAUUCUUUUUCUAGUGAUUGGAAUGAUGGGAAUCCAAACCCCUUUCAGAGUAACAAUUGGAGGGCAAGUCUGGUGCCAGCAGCCGCGGUAAUUCCAGCUCCAAUAGCGUAUAUUAAAGUUGUUGCAGUUAAAAAGCUCGUAGUUGGAUAUCUGCUGGAAGCAGCCAGUCCGCCCUUUGUGGGUGUGCACUUGGUGAAUUCUGGCAUCCUCCUGAUUGGUGUCAUCAUCACUUCAUUGUGUUGGUGGCAGCUGUCAGGACCGUUACUUUGAGAAAAUUAGAGUGUUUCAAGCAGGCUUGUUGCCUUGAAUACUGCAGCAUGGAAUAACAAGAUAGGAUUUCGGUUCUAUUUUGUUGGUUUCUAGGACUGAAAUAAUGAUUAAUAGGGACAGUUGGGGGCAUUCGUAUUUAACUGUCAGAGGUGAAAUUCUUAGAUUUGUUAAAGACGAACUACUGCGAAAGCAUUUGCCAAAGAUGUUUUCAUUAAUCAAGAACGAAAGUUAGGGGCUCGAAGACGAUCAGAUACCGUCGUAGUCUCAACCAUAAACUAUGCCGACUAGAGAUAGGAAAAUGUCAUUUUUCUGACUUCUCCUGCACCUUAUGAGAAAUC